UACGGGGGGGGCGAGCGUUGUCCGAAGUACUGGCGUAAAGCGCGUGUAGGCGGGUUGUUAAGUCCGCUGUGAAGCCCGGUGCUCAACGCCGGAGGGUCGGUGGAUACUGGCAGUCUUGAAGUGGCUAGGGGGAAAUGGAAUUACCGGUGUAGCGGUGAAAUGCGUAGAUAUCGGUAGGAACACCAGUGGCGAAGGCGGUUUCCUGGAGCUAACUUGACGCUGAGACGCGAAAGCUGGGGGAGCAA
rnacentral:rRNA from 1 species